UACGAAGGGGGCUAGCGUUGUUCGGAAUCACUGGGCGUAAAGGGCGCGUAGGCGGCUAGAUAAGUCGGGGGUGAAAGCCUGUGGCUCAACCACAGAAUUGCCUUCGAUACUGUAUGGCUUGAGACCGGAAGAGGUUAGUGGAACUGCGAGUGUAGAGGUGAAAUUCGUAGAUAUUCGCAAGACCACCAGUGGCGAAGGCGGCUGACUGGUCCGGAUCUGACGCUGGGGCGCGAAAGCGUGGGGAGCAAACAGG
rnacentral:rRNA from 1 species